CAGUCGCCGCGGUAAUACAGAGGGUGCGAGCGUUAAUCGGAUUUACUGGGCGUAAAGCGUGCGUAGGCGGCUUUUUAAGUCGGAUGUGAAAUCCCUGAGCUUAACUUAGGAAUUGCAUUCGAUACUGGGAAGCUAGAGUAUGGGAGAGGAUGGUAGAAUUCCAGGUGUAGCGGUGAAAUGCGUAGAGAUCUGGAGGAAUACCGGUGGCGAAGGCGGCCCCCUGGACAAAGACUGACGCUCAGGUGCGAAAGCGUGGGGAGCAAACAGGAUUAGAUACCCCAGUAGUCCCUGUCUCUUAUAA
rnacentral:rRNA from 1 species